rnacentral:rRNA from 1 species
AGUCACUGACAUUAGAUACCCCCGUAGUCCCAGCCGUAAACUAUGCUCGCUAGGUGUCAGGCAUGGCGCGACCGUGUCUGGUGCCGCAGGGAAGCCGUGAAGCGAGCCACCUGGGGAGUACGGCCGCAAGGCUGAAACUUAAAGGAAUUGGCGGGGGAGCACAACAACGGGUGGAGCCUGCGGUUUAAUUGGACUCAACGCCGGACAACUCACCGGGAACGACAGCAAUAUGUAGGCCAGGCUGAAGACCUUGCCUGAAUCGCUG